rnacentral:rRNA from 1 species
GGAGUUAGCCGGUGCUUCUUCUGUGAGUGAUGUCCUUCCUGCCGGCUAUUAACCCGCAGGCCUUCUUCCUCACUGAAAGUGCUUUACAACCCGAAGGCCUUCUUCACACACGCGGCAUGGCUGGAUCAGGGUUGCCCCCAUUGUCCAAUAUUCCCCACUGCUGCCUCCCGUAGGAGUCUGGGCCGUGUCUCAGUCCCAGUGUGGCUGAUCAUCCUCUCAGACCAGCUACGGAUCGUCGCCUUGGUGAGCCGUUACCUCACCAACCAGCUAAUCCGACAUAGGCUCAUCCGAUAGCGCGAGGCCCGAAGGUCCCCCGCUUUCCCCCGUAGGGCGUAUGCGGUAUUAGCCUGGGUUUCCCCAGGUUAUCCCCCACUACCGGGCAGAUUCCUAUGCAUUACUCACCCGUCCGCCGCUCGCCACCAGGGAGCAAGCUCCCCGUGCUGCCGCUCGACUUGCAUGUGUUAGCGUCGCCGCCACGCGUCAUCUGAGCAGAAUACAACUACUCGA